AAAAAAAGUAAUUUCAUGUUUGUAAUUUUUUUUUUUUAACUCCACAUCCCCUCCUUGGAGGGGUGCAAGGUCUGCUGGAUGGGGCUCUGAGCACCUGUGAGCUGUAGGUGCCCCUGUGCAUUGCAGGGGACUUGGACCAGGUGGCCUUUAAAGGUCCCUCCCAAUUCAUACCACUCUAUGAUCUACUUGUGGCAUUCCAGAUUGAUCAGGGAGCAGAUCCUUGCAUUCCUCCUGUUUGCAGGAGUGACCAGGGCAGCUCUAUAGGCUUCAGUAGAGAGGAAUCUCAUGAGUUACACUGGAAAUAGCGAGAUCAUACUCAGGCUUGUGAAAUCUUGACUCACUGGACUUGUAAUCUGAUGACACAGGUGUUUUUGGAAGCCCUGUUUAGUGUGUCCUGCCCUGCUCCAACAUUACCCCUCUGGAGAUCACCAAGUUCACUGCUUCAGACACCCAUGGGGUUUGGAAGCUGCCUACUCAGGAAGGAUGGAAACAGUGAGGCAUAGAAACCAUUUACUAGCAAGGAAGGGUCUGAGACCAUCAAACUCGCUUCAUUAACAAGAAACAGGAACGAAGUGCAGAGCCCCAGAGACGAAGGUCAGUGCAGAACACAAGGAGGGCUUGCUGAACUGCAUCACUAAGGAAGGGGCUGUUCUGCCCAUCAGCCACACAAGCUCACAUCUCCUGUUC
rnacentral:lncRNA from 1 species